AUUAUUUCAAAGAGUAGGGUGAAUUCAGGUUGAUUGGAACACUUUUCCAAGCCAUUUCAAUGACAAAAAGUGUUCACACAAUAGUGUACAAACAAUAAUAAAAUAGGCUACUGUAUAGUUUUAUAGUUAUAUUAUCUUAAACUGAUGUCGCAAUCUAUAUAUUACUUUUAUGCUUAUGUGGCAGAUUAGUCAGAUCCUCCCUGUAGUGACGUCAUGUUAUUGGUAGCCUAUCUUCCCGCAGGGAGGUGUGUAUAAAUGGCUGUUUGGUGCGGGCCGGAUGUGCGUCAUCUGUUCUGUGCCUGCGCUCUUCCUGUUUACCGGCAUUCAACAGAGGUCUGUGGUUAAAACACAGCCGUUUGGGCAUUUUAACACCGCUUGUGUCAUUUUGUGGGGCUUUGCGUACACUGGAGAGUCUAUUGUAAACAACCGUUACGUGCGGUCUGGCUCGUUACACUGCCUAGUCCCAGCAUUCCCGUGUGUUUACCGUUUGAGUGGGGACAUCCAAUAUAUGCUGUUUGGCAUCUACUUCAUUUCUAUCCCGUGGAUACUGACGUCAGCUCUGCUUUCUGGUGUGGCAAACGGCUGCGUUAUUUGGAGCUGUGUGUCCGACGGCAGUGAGGCUUUCCUUCACCGUGUGCUGUGUUAUGCUGUGUGAGCACCACUGAUAAAAUCACGGGUAUUGGAGUGAGUGUGUGUGUGUGUGUGUGCACUUAGUGUGAUUCUCCUCUUUUGCUCCCUCUCUUAGCCCAUUUGAUGCCAAUAGGCUACAGCUCCGAAGUAAAUGUGAAUCCUUAUUGUGGAUUGUGAUUUCCAGCUUAGUAAUUGGCUGGGUGACUAUUAUUCCUGCAUUUUAAACUUUUGUACUAAUAAACAAACUCUAUUUUGCUACCCA
ensembl:lncRNA